GAGUUUGAUCCUGGCUCAGGACGAACGCUGGCGGCGUGCUUAACACAUGCAAGUCGAGCGGAAAGGCUCCUUCGGGGGUACUCGAGCGGCGAACGGGUGAGUAACACGUGAGUAAUCUGCCCCUGGCUUUGGGAUAGCCACCGGAAACGGUGAUUAAUACCGGAUAUGACCUGUCCAUGCAUGUGGGUGGGUGGAAAGUUUUUCGGCCAGGGAUGUGCUCGCGGCCUAUCAGCUUGAUGGUGAGGUAAUGGCUCACCAUGGCUUCGACGGGUAGCCGGCCUGAGAGGGUGACCGGUCACACUGGGACUGAGACACGGCCCAGACUCCUACGGGAGGCAGCAGUGGGGAAUAUUGGACAAUGGGCGGAAGCCUGAUCCAGCAACGCCGCGUGAGGGAUGACGGCCUUCGGGUUGUAAACCUCUUUCAGCAGGGACGAAGCGCGAGUGACGGUACCUGCAGAAGAAGCACCGGCCAACUACGUGCCAGCAGCCGCGGUAAUACGUAGGGUGCGAGCGUUGUCCGGAAUUAUUGGGCGUAAAGGGCUCGUAGGCGGUUUGUCGCGUCGGGAGUGAAAACCAGGUGCUUAACACCUGGCUUGCUUUCGAUACGGGCAGACUAGAGGCAUGCAGGGGAGAACGGAAUUCCUGGUGUAGCGGUGAAAUGCGCAGAUAUCAGGAGGAACACCGGUGGCGAAGGCGGUUCUCUGGGCAUGUCCUGACGCUGAGGAGCGAAAGUGUGGGGAGCGAACAGGAUUAGAUACCCUGGUAGUCCACACCGUAAACGUUGGGCGCUAGGUGUGG
rnacentral:rRNA from 1 species